rnacentral:lncRNA from 1 species
CAUGAGACUUUUGAUGAAAACCGUAGUAGUUAAGGGUUGAUUUCUCUAUUUGUCAUGUCUUUUCAUCAAUUUGUUAUUUCGUAUUGUUUUAUCAUGUUUAUGAUGCUAUCUGUGCAACUAUGUUGUGUCUGAGUGUGAAAGUAAUAAAGACCCAUUUAUAUAUUUGUCAAACAUGAUGUUUACAUGUGCAAACAUCAAAUUUGAACAUAAUUGUGAGCAUGUGUAAAUGAUUGUUUUUCUUUUUUUUUUUUCUGGUCUUAAUUAUAUUCAAACAUGUACCAUUGUUUAGUACAGUAUAUAUCAAUAGCAAGAACCAAGUUAUUGAACCAGCAAUAUCAAAGGCGGCACCUAAAAUUGGCAGGAAUUUUCUUAUCAAAACUUGUGGGGUUGUGAAGUCAAUGGUAUACCCUUUCUCCGAG